GAACUCUUAGACUAAUAUUCAGUGGCAAGCAUAACCAAUUUGCAGGAGCACUCCCAACUGGGUCUAAUCUGCAAGCUUUUGUGAUUGAAUUCAUAAUCACUUUUUUCCUUAUCUUUAUCUUAUUUGGGGUUGCCACUGAUGAUCGAGCGGUACUAUUUCUUAUUCUUCCCAAUAACUUUUUAUCUUGCUAGUUAAUUUGAUAAUAAUUGGCUCGUAUUUUCUAUAAAAUUUUGACUUAAUUCUAAGAUGUUUAGCUAAUGCAAUUUGAUAGGAAAGUAGAGAUAAAGAAGCCAUGACAAUCAAACUCGAACCUGAAGAUAUCCCUAACCUCAAGUUUAACGGGAAAAUUCGCUUUGAUUAGAUUUUCCAUGACAGCUGAACCUAAAUCCUAAGAAACGAGGAUGAAGAUGCAUUUGGGGAUGCUAAUACUCAUCCAAACUUGCCAAUAUAAUAAUUAUAUAAUUUGAAUUAUAAAUGGUAAUUAAAUAAAAAUAUUUAACUUAUAUAUUUUGCUAAAAAUAUAAUUUAAUACUUAAAUAGAAGUUCUUAUAUUCUUAAGGUUUAUGAGGUCUAUUUUUAUAAAAAAAAUUGAAAGUUUUUACAAAUUAUUUGAACUAAAAUACUUUUGCGAUAUAAAUUAUAUAUAUAUAUAUAUAUAAAAGAUAAUAAGAUUAAAUAAAAAUUAAUAGGGCAUGGCUGCUUGCGAGUUUUCCAAAACCAGAGGAGGAUGAUGAGGUUGAGUUCCAUUUGAUUUAAUUUUAAAAUGAAUAAAAAGAGUUCAUGAGAUUUAUUUUUUAUUUUGAAUUUUAAGAAGUGAUGACAUGUCUUUUGCUAACGAGAUAUAGGGCAUGUUUGAUAACUGUUUCCAAAACAGUUUUCAGUUUUUAAAAACUGAAAACUUGUUUGGUAAGACCUGUUUUCAAAAACAGUUUUUGAAAACAGUUCUCAUUUUCAGUUUUUAAAACUAAAAAACCAAAACAGGUAAAAGAUGUUUUCAGUUUCAGUUUUUAGUUUUCUAUAUCAGUUUUCUAAAUGUUCGAAAACAUGUCAUUUAAAGUGUUUUCUUUUUCUGAAAAUUGUUUUUAAGAAUUGUUUCUGAAAACUAUUUUAAAAACUGAAAACUAAAACUGUUAUCAAACAGGCCCAUAAAUUUAUUCAAUUAAAGAGAUACUCCCUCCGUUCCUAUUUAUAAGUCCAUUUUACCCAAUUCUCUUAGAUUAAAAAAAGUAGUUACAAGUAAUAAAUUUGUAGUUAACCAAGUGGGUUGAUGUAGUGGUUCAGCACUUCAUCCUUUAAGCAAGUGGUUGGGGGUUCGAAUCCCAACUCGCCCCCUACCACUUAGUGCGCUGACCGUGGGGCGAGAGAUUAGUCUCACGGCUGUCGGCUGUCGAAUACCUUGGUCAAGACAAAAAAAAAGAGAUAAUAUUUAGAGAGAAAAUAGUUAUCUUGAUUUUUUGUGUGGUUACAUUGAAUUUUUUACUGGAUUAAAUUGAAAUUACAAUAAUUUUUUUGACAAUGUCUUUUUUUUAUAAAUGAUUAUUCAGUUAAUUAUUAGGAUUACAUUCAACAAUAAUUUUUUUUGAAAGAACAAUAAAUUCUUUUUAAUUAAAAUUAUGAAAGGAAUUAUUUUUCAGAAACCAAAUAUAUUGAUAAGAAGAAAGGAAUUGCGGCCAAAAGCAAAGUAAAAAAUUGAGAGAUCUAGCAAAAACAGACCCCGGUUUUAAAAAAGAAAAAAAAAACAGACCACCGAAGGGAAAAACUAAACAAAAAUUCCAACUAUUCAAAGGAAAACAAAGCACAAACCACAUUUGAGUAAAUGAUAGUUAUAUAUAGCCCCUUAAAAAUAUCAGAUCCAUCACUUUAGUCCUGAAUAUGAAAAAAAAAUAUUUUCCUCAUAAAGCACGAAAAUAUUGUCAAUGUAGCCCUUUUGCAACAUCAAUUUAGUGACAAAAAAUUGAAAUUUUUCUUUGAGGAACUAAAAUGACCGAUCCGAAAUAUUUCAUGAAUUAAAAUUAUGAUUCAUUUAAUAUAAAAAAGUUCAUUUCGGUGCCCUAAGAAAAAUUAUGGAUACGUCUAUGUAUACAAACAAAAUCCAUAUUUGCAUUAUUAAUUCAAAUACCCCAUUUGAUGGCUUUUAGCUGUUCAUUUCAUCUUUAAUCUUGCAGAUUGGUGAGGUUGCUGGGAUUGUGGUGGGAUCUACAGUGCUUUUGAAUGUGUUGUUUGCAGGGUAUUAAUUUACGAUUGAAAUUUCUUAUCUCUUUCUUUGUUCCACCAAUCAAUUAUGUUAUGUUAUUUAAAAAUUCACUCAUGUAAGAUUAUAAUUAUUAUACAUAUUGCCUACAUAGCACAAUUUAAUCAGUGAAACCAAACGAGGACAUAUACUACAUCAUGAUCUUAACUAUUUAUGUUUGUGUCAGAUUCUAAUAGCAAAGUUUCUCUUGUACUACAGGCCAAUAACUGGAGCAUCAAUGAACCCAGCAAGAAGCAUAGGGUCUGCUUUUGUACACAAUGAGUACAGAGGAAUAUGGAUAUACUUGCUAUCUCCAACUCUGGGGGCAGUGGCUGGUGCAUGGGUCUAUAACAUCGUUCGCUACACAGACAAGCCAUUGCGUGAGAUCACUAAAAAUGUCUCUUUUCUCAAAGGAAUAUGAGAGUCCUAAAAGCCUAGACGCCUAGUGGUUAUGGAUCACUAUGCCAAGAGAAACAUCAAACUUCUCUAAGAUUGGAAUAAUUUUAUCCAUCCUUAAGAUGCUAGUAGUUAUUAGUCGCAUUUCUACUUUAUGGUUGUUAGGAGAAUGUUGAGUUGCCAAUAUUCUUUUGGUGGCUUUGUUAUUCUGUUUGUUAUUUUGCAUAUGUUAUUUCCAUUUAGUUACUAUAUUGUAAGCCUUUAUAAAGUGAUGAAAGUAAUAUUGGAUAAAUGCAUUGAGCCAAUCUUAAAAUAAUUCAACUUCUCUCUUAAUUUUUGGAGGUACCCUCCUGGCCUCAUAUUCAGGAAAACCAAUUUUUGUUCCAUUCCCCUUAACUUGAUGUUUUCAUCUUUUGUUUAUUUGAUUUUUGUUGUUAUCAACGUUUCCAAAAGUGUUGAAUUUAAAAAUUGUCAUUAGAUAACUUGUUUUCUUAUUGAAUUUUCAUGUUUGAUUUGUGUGAUUGUUCCUUCAAAUUAUCAACAAAUAACUUGAGUUGUUUUUAACUUGAACACUACAAGAUAAAUUCAUUCAGGUGUAUUUUAAGUCUCAAACUGCUUAGCCCUUUUACUUAUAAACCACUGAAUUUGAAGAGUCCAAAAAAUGCCUCAAGUUGAUUGUAAUACAUUUAUUUAGUUCAUGUCUAAACUGAGACAAUAUUGUAUUUUUGUUUACAAAUAGAGCUCAUAUUAAUGCGUUUGAGAAUGUCCAAAUAAGUUUCACAAAUAGACAAUUAUGUUAAAGUUAGUUGUUUAGAAUUAGUUGUAUAGUGAAAGUCAAGUUGUAUAAAUAGGCUUUGAAGGUUAAUGAAUAAGUAAUUGAAAGUUUUCAAACGCAAGAAACUUUUCUAUUCUACUCUUUCUGUUAGUUUGUUUUUCACAAUUGGUAUCAGAGCUCCACACGGGGCCUGAUAUACCAAAGGAACCGCAGUUCUUGAAACAGAGGAGAGAGCCAUGGCUGAGAGUUCAAACUUCGCACAACCUGCAGUCCCAAAAUUCGAUGGGCAUUACGAUCACUGGGCACUGCUGAUGGAGAACCUGCUGCGAUCGAAAGAGUAUUGGCCAAUCGUUGCAGAUGGAGUCCCCGCACUCACACAAAACCCUACCCCAGAGCAGACCAAGAUUCAUGAAGAAGCAAAAUUGAAGGACCUUAAAGCCAAGAAUUACUUGUUCCAAUCGAUCGAUAGGAGCAUUCUGGAAACGAUCUUGAAUAAAGAUUCGUCUAAAGAAAUCUGGGAUUCAAUGCGAUUGAAGAACCAGGGCUCCACCAAGGUGAAAAGGGCGCAAUUGCAAGCCCUAAGACGGGAAUUUGAGAUUCUGGCAAUGAAGGAAGGGGAAACAGUUGAGAGUUACUUUGCAAGAACGCUGAGCAUUGUGAACAAGAUGAAGAUUCAGGGUGAGGUGAUCAAGGAAACUCUGGUUGUCGAAAAGAUUCUCCGAUCGAUGACAGAAAAAUUCAACUAUGUGGUGUGCUCUAUCGAAGAAUCCAACGAUGUAGACACAAUCACUAUAGAUCAACUUCAGAGUAGUCUUCUGGUUCAGGAGCAGCGAAUGAAGGGAUAUAGGGAGGAAGAACAAGCUCUGAAAGCCACAAGCUCAGGCAGAUCUGAAAGGGGUAGAGGAAGGAAUGGAAAUCGUGGUCGCGGCAGGGGUAGAGGAUCUUUCAACAAAGAAUCUGUGGAAUGCUACAAAUGUCACAAAUUGGGCCAUUUUCAGUAUGAAUGUCCAACUUGGGAGGAGAGCGCCAACUAUGCAGAAUUGAUUGAAGAUCAUGAAGAACUGUUGCUCAUGGCAAGAACAGUGACAACUGGGAAAUUGAAAAUCCUUGAUUCAGCAGCAAAGUUGAAGGAAGAAUGUGAGGAUUUGAUGCUAAUGGCAAGAACAGAGCAUGAAGAAAUGGCUGGAAAAGUGUGGUUUCUUGACUCAGGGUGCAGUAACCACAUGUGUGGCUCGAAAGCAUGGUUUCACAAGUUGAAUGAAGACUUCACAACCACUGUGAAACUGGGUGAUGAUUCCAUUAUGACUGUGAAAGGAAAAGGAGAGGUGAAGCUUCAAAUUGGUGGCCUGACCCAGGUAAUCACAGAGGUAUACUAUAUACCUGAAUUGAAAAAUAAUCUCUUGAGCAUAGGGCAAUUGCUAGAAAGGGGAUUGAACAUCUCCUUCAAGAAGAGAUGGUGUAGGAUCUAUCAUAAAGAAAAGGGUCUCAUCAUGCAAUCAAGGAUGUCUUCUAAUCGAAUGUUUGCAGUGAUUGCAACUGUUUUGAUUCCAAGGUGUCUUAGUACCUCUGCCAUGGAUGAAACUGAAAUGUGGCACAAGAGAUAUGGUCAUCUAGGGUAUUCUGGCUUGAAGACUCUAGUACAGAAGACUAUGGUUAAAGGGUUACCUAUGCUAAAUGAACCAGAGAAACCUUGUGAAGAAUGCAUGAAAGGGAAGCAACAUAGAGACUCCUUCCCUCAGAAAAGCACUUGGAGAGCCUCUCAGAAGCUUCAACUUGUACAUUCAGAUAUCUGUGGACCAAUCAAGCCUGAAUCACACAGUCAAAAGAGGUACUUCAUCACUUUCAUAGAUGAUUUCUGCAGAAAAACUUGGGUUUAUUUCUUAAGUGAAAAAUCCAGUGCAUUAGAAAGCUUCAAGAGAUUCAAGAUUUUAGCUGAAAAAGAGAGUGGAGAAAAAUUGUGUUGUUUAAGAACUGAUAGAGGGGGAGAGUUUAAUUCUAAGGAAUUUGAGGAAUUCUGUGAAGUUAAUGGCAUCAAAAGGCAACUCACAGCAGCUUAUACUCCUCAGCAGAAUGGAGUAUCAGAGAGGAAGAAUAGGACAAUCAUGAACAUGGUGAGGUGUAUGCUUACUGAGAAGCAAGUUCCCAGGGAAUUCUGGCCAGAGGCAGUUAACUGGGCUGUCUAUAUACAGAAUAGAAGUCCUACCAUAGCAGUGAAGAACAUCACACCUAAGGAAUGUUGGAGUGGAAGCAAGCCAUCAGUGCAAUUUUUCAGGAUUUUUGGGUGUGUAGCCCAUGCUCAUAUACCUGAUAGUCAAAGGAAAAAGCUUGAUGAUAGGAGUGUGAAAUGCAUUCAUUUGGGAAUCAGUGAAGAGUCCAAGGCUUAUAGGCUAUAUGAUCCAGUGUUAAAGAAGAUUCUGAUCAGUAGAGAUGUGGUGUUUGAUGAAUCAAGUGGCUGGGAUUGGCAGUCAGGAACAAAAAGGGUGGAGUUGCUUGAGAAUCUUGGUGAAAAAGAUGAUGAAGAAGUUGUUGACACAACUGAGAAUCCUACUGCAUCUACAACAAGUGAGAUAGAGCUGCAUGCUAAUCCAAGUUCAAAUGACAAUCUCUCUGAACAGGUGGACAAUUAUGGAGCCUCAGGCAGUACAGCACCUAGAGUGUUUGAAGAGGAGAGGGAAAGAAGAGGCAAGAGAAGUGUUGUACAACCCGUAUGGAUGAAAGAGUUUGUGUCUGGAGAAGAUCUGAGUGAUGAAGGACACAGUAAUUUUGCUCUCACUGAUGAGCUCCAGGGUGAAGAGUUCAGCUUUCUUUCCAUUGCUUCAGAUCCUAUGACAUUUGAUGUAGCAGCUAAGAGUGAACACUGGAGAAAAGCUAUGGAUCUGGAAAUACAGGCUAUUGAAAAAAAUAACACUUGGGAGCUGGCAGUACUUCCUAAAGGAGUGAAAAGUAUUGGAGUUAAGUGGGUUUAUAAGACAAAGCUGAAUGAAAAAGGUGAGAUUGAGAAGCAUAAGGCCAGGUUGGUGGCUAAGGGAUAUGCACAACAACAAGGGGUGGAUUUUACUGAGGUAUUUGCACCUGUUGCUAGGUGGGAUACUAUAAGAACCAUUCUUGCUUUGGCUGCUAUCAGAGGCUGGACAAUAUUCCAAUUAGAUGUUAAAAGUGCAUUUUUGCAUGGAGAACUUGAUGAGACAGUGUUUGUUGAUCAACCUCAGGGGUAUCAAGUCAAAGGUGCUGAGAGUAAGGUCUAUAAGCUUCACAAAGCUCUUUAUGGACUGAGGCAAGCCCCUAGAGCAUGGUAUAGUAAAAUUGAUGCCUACUUCCAGAAACAAAAGUUUGUAAGGUCAGAGGCAGAUCAUACACUAUAUGUCAAGCAAGGGAAGAAUAAUCUGGUGAUUAUUGUUAGUCUGUAUGUUGAUGAUUUGAUCUACACUGGAAACUGUGAGCUGAUGAUCAGUGAGUUUAAGUCAUCCAUGGAGAAGGAAUUUGAUAUGAGUGACUUAGGCAGAAUGAGCUAUUUCCUGGGUGUUGAGAUCUUGCAGAACACAGAAGGUAUCUUCAUGUGUCAAAGUAAGUAUGCUAGAGAGGUUCUUAAGAGGUUUGGCAUGGAGAAUAGUAACCCUGUUAAAAACCCUGUGGUUCCAGGAACUAAGUUGGAUAAAAAGGGUGGUGGAGCUGAAGUUGAUGCUACUCAGUAUAAGCAAAUGAUUGGAAGUUUGAUGUACUUAACUGUGAGCAGACCUGAUCUGAUGUAUGCUGUCAGCCUUGUGAGUAGAUACAUGGAGAAGCCAACAGAUGUACAUUUGCAAAGUGUUAAGAGGGUGAUGAGAUAUUUGAGUGGCUCAGUUGAUAUGGGAAUUCAGUAUAAAAGAGCUGGAAACAGGGAAUUGGUCUCUUAUACUGACAGUGAUUAUGCUGGAGAUAUCGAUGACAGGAAAAGUACUUCUGGAUAUGUCUUCAUGCUUGGCUCAGGAUCUGUGGCUUGGUCUUCAAAGAAGCAAGCAGUUGUUAGUCUCUCAACAACUGAGGCUGAGUUUAUUGCUGCAGUUGCAUGUGCUUGUCAAUGUAUUUGGCUUAGAAGAAUUCUUUUCUCACUUGGUCAUGUUCAGGACAAGUGCUCAAUCAUACACUGUGAUAAUAGCUCAACUAUUAAGCUGUCAAAGAAUCCUGUUAUGCAUGGAAGAAGCAAGCAUAUUGAUGUACGCUAUCAUUUUCUGAGAGAUUUGGUUCAAGAAGGAAGAAUAGAGCUAGCUUACUGCAGCACUAAUGAACAGCUGUCAGAUAUUAUGACCAAACCUUUGAAGGUUGAGUUGUUUGAGAAACUGAGAUCACAGUUGGGUGUGUGUAAGAUCAAUAGGAUAAACUGAAUUGCAUGUUGCAAGUUCAGUUUAAGGGAGGGUGUUAAAGUUAGUUGUUUAGAAUUAGUUGUAUAGUGAAAGUCAAGUUGUAUAAAUAGGCUUUGAAGGUUAAUGAAUAAGUAAUUGAAAGUUUUCAAACGCAAGAAACUUUUCUAUUCUACUCUUUCUGUUAGUUUGUUUUUCACAAAUUAUUAUUAUUAUUUUGGUCCAAUUUUCUUUUUUUUGAAGUCUGGUCCAAAAUUAUUGUUUUGACUAAAUUAAACUAUUUAUAUCCCCCCACGUCUAUAGUCUUCAUUCCUCACCAACCUCAUCAAUCUUUAUAUGAAGAGAUCACAUCAACCCCUUCUUCCACGAGCUAAAACAUCAUAUAUUCCAGCAACCUCGAAAGAUCAAAUUCUUCAAUAUUAAAAAAUACUAUACAUCCAAUUAAUCCAGGAACAUAGUUAAAUACUAUAUAUAGAGGUGUUCGGUCGAAAAGACACAUGUGCUGCAUGUGGUCCAAUCUUCUUUCUUUCCCAUCUCAAAGAAACUAAAUUUCCCUGUCCUUUUAUUUCCUUGUAAUUCUGUGGGUGAUGGAUCAAGAUUCAGCAUCAAAUGGAGCCCAUGAGACAGUUUUAAAUGUAAGCAAGGAUGUCUCUAACACUACUGAAGUCUCAGACACCUCUUUCACUGUUUCUUUCUUGCAAAAGGUGACUCCUAAGUCCUAAUCUUUCUUUUCAAUUCCUCUGUUUGCAAACUCAUAUGGGAUUUGAUUUGAUGAAUAGACAGUUGUCUCUUCUAGAAUCUGAUCAGAAGCUUAUGUGAGUAGUUUCUGAAUGACAGAAUUGACACGUAGUAAAAAAACUGAUACAAAAAGCUAUGGAACUUGUGGUACAGUACAUUCAGAGUCUAUAGAGCUAGUUUAGUCACGGACCAAAAAACACUCGUAUUUAUCUAGUGUUUUUUUAUAAUGGAGAAGUUCCAAUAAUAUGUGCUUUUUAGUGUGUAUCCAAAUAGGCUCAUAUUGUUAGAGAUGAAUAGGCACAUAUAAUAUUAAAGUAUCUUUCUGAACUAAUCUAUUGAUCAGAUUGAACUUGAAAAAUUGAUUAGAAAUGGCAAUUUGAAUUUGAGUCUGUUUGUUUUUAUGAGUGCAGAUAGUAGCUGAGGUGGUGGGAACAUAUUUUAUGAUAUUUGCUGGUUGUGCUUCAGUGGUAGUGAACAAGAACAAUGACAAUGUGGUUACACUUCCUGGGAUUUCAAUUGUUUGGGGACUGGCUGUGAUGGUGCUGGUUUACUCUGUUGGCCACAUUUCUGGUGCCCAUUUCAAUCCUGCUGUCACCAUUGCUUUUGCCACCAACAGAAGGUUUCCAUGGAAGCAGGUGAGCCAAACUCAACACUUUUUCUUCUGAGAUUCAUUAUUUGGUAAAACUAGAUAGGAAAUUAGGGGUCAAACUAGUUUAUCAUCUAUAGCCAACUUUGUUUGAAUUAGAUGUAGACUUCUUGGCCCUUUCACACUGUAAUAUUUAAAAUUUGUUUUUGUCUGAAACAACAAGUUAUUGCACAUUUAAUAAAAUAAUGGAAUUAGAGAGAGCAUGUUCCUCUAUUAGUCUAUUCAAUUGUCUCCAUCUGUCUUUGAAAUUAUUGGCACCACCAUGGUGGUAUAGGCAUAUUUGAAAAUUGAAAAGUCAUCUGCAACCUGAUUUCAAAAUUAAUUAAAAUCAAUUCUAGAGAGAAGCUUGAUGAGUAGUUUCAAAAUGCUGAAUUGAUUACGAAGAAAGGGAAGCUGAUUCGAAUGUUAAUAAUUGUUCUCCUUGUAGGUACCUACUUAUAUAGCAGCUCAGGUUCUUGGAUCCACACUUGCAACUGGAACUCUCAGGCUAAUAUUCAAUGGCAAGCAUAAUCAGUUUACAGGAACACUCCCAGCUGGGUCUAACUUACAAGCUUUUGUGAUUGAAUUCAUAAUCACUUUUUACCUUAUGUUCAUCAUAUCUGGGGUGGCCACUGAUAAUCGAGCAGUAAUGUUUCUUUUGCAUCCAAAAAUUCCAUUCUGCUGUUUGUUUGGUUAUAAGUAGCUCUUAUUUUACAUAAAAUAUUUUGAUUUAAAAUUCCAAUGAAUUGGGGUUGGCCAAUAAUCACCACACCAAUCUAUGAUUGAAAAGUAAAUGUGAUGCAAUGUAAUAGAAAAAGAGAGAAAAAGAAGAAAAAAAAUGUUGAAUAAGAUGUGGAAGUAUUGUAAGUGUUUAAAAGGAUAGGAUUUGACAUUAAAAAAGUGCAUGAAUUGACUAGUUGUCUAGACAUAGUUGUACCCUUUUGAAAUAUGUGGAAGAUGUCUAAAAAGUUUACGUAAUAAGACACAUCUUGUACCAACAAAAUCUAUAUUUGAAAAUUGGUAAAUCAAAGACCCCAUUUGAUGACUUUUAGCUCUUCAUUUUGUUUUUUUUAUCUUGCAGAUUG
rnacentral:lncRNA from 1 species